GACGAACGCUGGCGGCGUGCUUAACACAUGCAAGUCGAACGGUGAAGCGCCGUCCUUUUUGGUGGGUGUGGAUGAGUGGCGGACGGGUGAGUAACACGUGAGUAACCUGACCCCUCCUUCAGGACAACCGCAUGCCAGUGUGGCUAAUACGGGAUAUUCUGGACCUGUCGCAUGAUGGGUCUGGGAAGGAUUUUGUUUCGGUGGGGGAUGGGCUCGCGGCCUAUCAGCUUGUUGGUGGGGUGAUGGCCUACCAAGGCGGUGACGAGUAGCCGGCCUGAGAGGGUGGACGGCCACGCAGCGACUGCACCGCCGCCCAUACUCCUAGGGGAGGCAGCAGGGAGGAAUAUGGCACAGGGGGAGGAAUCAUGGUGCAGCGACGCCUCGGGAGUGAUGGAGUCCUUCGGGUUGUGAUCCGCUUUCGCCAGUGAAGCAGUCUUGCCUCGUGUGUGCGUGGGUUGACGGUAGCUGGAUAGGAAGCGCCGGCUAACUACGUG
rnacentral:rRNA from 1 species